GUGUUAUCCUUUAAAAGUUUUUAAAACGAGUCACGUGUUAAAAUAAAAAUAACCUAUUUACCAGGAAAUUAUAAGAUUGUGUCUCUUGUGUUGUACGACAUUGUAAUUGUGGAUUUAUUUAUUUGAUAUCCUGUAUAACCGGAUGUGUGUAUCCUGGAUCACUGUCCCGCCCAUAGUGUGAUCUUACAUUAGACAGAAUGUAGAUUACAUGCUGGUUUUACAGCAUUCCAACAACAUGGGUGUUACCAGCUACUACAAUAACCAGGACUUACAUGAAAUCUGCUCUGCUACACAGAAGACAAUGCUGCCUAAGACUGCCAUGUAUACCGAUUAUACCAACUUAGAAAUACCUUAUAUACAAAGAAGAAAACCUACAAACAUCAAUAAAGGAGAUUAAA